CACUUCGCUCUCCCAGGACUUUUGUCUCCUUUAAACAAUUACAACGUUUCAAAUUCUUCGAGAGACGAAGAGUGAGGCAAGGGAAGCGUCUGGGGGGGGGGUUCCAGCGGGGUGGCGACCCCCGACAACCCCCAGCUGUCCUAGAGCAAAGGAGUCACAUACCGAAAAGGAGCGACGGCGGAGACGCUGAGGGCAAUUGAGCCGAGGAGGAGGUUACAGAGUCACCAGAUGGAAGCAAGCGCUUAACCGAAGCUAAGUACCUUACAAUAAUAAAGUUAUAAUAAUAGUUAUUGUGGGGAAAUACUGGGCUAGUAAGGAUAUCCGAUAAAACCUAGAAGGAGCUAAAAAACUUUAAGCCGAGAGAGGAACAAGCACAACAGACCUAAAAAGAGCGGCUAGUUUAAUAAAUUGCAGAGAGGGGAACAACAGAGGAGAAGAGGCUCAAAAUAAGGGCUGAAACAAGGGGAAACGAAAGCUCGAAAUUACAACUUUUUUCUCUUUCUUACCAGUUUUGUUGCAGGUGGACGCAGGUGGACGCUGCGGCUUUAAGGCGCCGAGAGGAGUUGGAGGCUGGGCGCAAGCGGUUACAGCUGGGUGCGGCGGAGAGGCGGUGCUGGGCAGCGCGGAGAGGCACGCAAGGCCAAACGACGGAGCAACAGAGCGACAGGAUUCGAGCGGCGAAGGGCGGAGGUGCAGAGCAGAGGAGUGACGUCAUAGCCGAGGCGACAGAGAGAGAAGGGAGGGGCGACGAGCACCAGAAAAAACAAGCCGGAGCCGAAAGAAAACAAGGGACAGACUAAAUAACGGGGGAAGGUUUAAGCAUUAAGGGGACCUUGAAAGAACAUUUAAAGAGACAGAAAAAUUGUUAUAUAACUAUACAAGUAACCCCAAACAGAG